GUAGCGAAAUUCCUUGUCGGGUAAGUUCCGACCUGCACGAAUGGUGUAACGAUCUGGGCACUGUCUCGGCCACGAGCUCGGUGAAAUUGUAGUAUCGGUGAAGAUGCCGAUUACCCGCAGCGGGACGAAAAGACCCCGUGAACCUUCACUACAGCUUAGUAUUGACUUCGGACAAAUAAUGUGUAGGAUAGGUGGGAGACUAUGAAGCUGUGUCGCUAGGCAUGGUGGAGUCGCCGUUGAAAUACCACCCUUUAUUUGUUUGGAGCCUAACCCCGCGAGGGGGACAGUGCUUGGUGGGUAGUUUGACUGGGGUGGUCGCCUCCAAAAGAGUAACGGAGGCUUCUAAAGGUACCCUCAGCACGCUUGGUAACCGUGCGUAGAGUGCAAUGGCAUAAGGGUGCUUGACUGUGAGAC
rnacentral:rRNA from 10 species